rnacentral:rRNA from 1 species
UGCUAGAUUGAUGGCGAGUGGCGAACGGGUGAGUAAUACAUCGGAACGUGCCCUGUAGUGGGGGAUAACUAGUCGAAAGAUUAGCUAAUACCGCAUACGACCUGAGGGUGAAAGUGGGGGACCGCAAGGCCUCAUGCUAUAGGAGCGGCCGAUGUCUGAUUAGCUAGUUGGUGGGGUAAAGGCCCACCAAGGCGACGAUCAGUAGCUGGUCUGAGAGGACGAUCAGCCACACUGGGACUGAGACACGGCCCAGACUCCUACGGGAGGCAGCAGUGGGGAAUUUUGGACAAUGGGCGAAAGCCUGAUCCAGCAAUGCCGCGUGUGUGAAGAAGGCCUUCGGGUUGUAAAGCACUUUUGUCCGGAAAGAAAUGGCUCUGGUUAAUACCUGGGGUCGAUGACGGUACCGGAAGAAUAAGGACCGGCUAACUACGUGCCAGCAGCCGCGGUAAUACGUAGGGUCCAAGCGUUAAUCGGAAUUACUGGGCGUAAAGCGUGCGCAGGCGGUUGUGCAAGACCGAUGUGAAAUCCCCGAGCUUAACUUGGGAAUUGCAUUGGUGACUGCACGGCUAGAGUGUGUCAGAGGGGGGUAGAAUUCCACGUGUAGCAGUGAAAUGCGUAGAGAUGUGGAGGAAUACCGAUGGUGAAGGCAGCCCCCUGGGAUAACACUGACGCUCAUGCACGAAAGCGUGGGGAGCAAACAGGAUUAGAUACCCUGGUAGUCCACGCCCUAAACGAUGUCAACUAGUUGUUGGGGAUUCAUUUCCUUAGUAACGUAGCUAACGCGUGAAGUUGACCGCCUGGGGAGUACGGUCGCAAGAUUAAAACUCAAAGGAAUUGACGGGGACCCGCACAGCGGGUGGAUGGUGUGGAUUAAUUCGAUGCAACGCGAAAAACCUU